AAGUUUUAAUGAAUAUACUCAUAUCCUUAAGUUUGCAACUUAAUAUUUUAUUUAAACUAUAAAACC
rnacentral:tRNA from 1 species